AACGAACGCUGGCGGCAGGCCUAACACAUGCAAGUCGAACGCUCCAGCAAUGGAGAGUGGCAGACGGGUGAGUAACACGUGGGAACCUUCCCUAUGGUUCGGAAUAGCUCAGGGAAACUUGGGGUAAUGCCGGAUAAGCCCUUCGGGGAAAGAUUUAUCGCCAUUGGAUGGGCCCGCGUCGGAUUAGCUAGUUGGUGAGGUAACGGCUCACCAAGGCAACGAUCCGUAGCUGGUCUGAGAGGAUGAUCAGCCACACUGGGACUGAGACACGGCCCAGACUCCUACGGGAGGCAGCAGUGGGGAAUCUUGCACAAUGCGCGAAAGCGUGACGCAGCGACGCCGCGUGAGGGAUGACGGCCUU
rnacentral:rRNA from 1 species